AACGAACGCUGGCGGCAUGCCUAACACAUGCAAGUCGAACGAACCCUUCGGGGUUAGUGGCGCACGGGUGCGUAACGCGUGGGAAUCUGCCCUUUGCUUCGGAAUAACACAGAGAAAUUUGUGCUAAUACCGGAUAAUGUCGCAAGACCAAAGAUUUAUCGGCAAAGGAUGAGCCCGCGUAGGAUUAGCUAGUUGGUGGGGUAAUGGCCCACCAAGGCGACGAUCCUUAGCUGGUCUGAGAGGAUGAUCAGCCACACUGGGACUGAGACACGGCCCAGACUCCUACGGGAGGCAGCAGUGGGGAAUAUUGGACAAUGGGCGAAAGCCUGAUCCAGCAAUGCCGCGUGAGUGAUGAAGGCCUUAGGGUUGUAAGCUCUUUACCCGGGAUGAUAAUGACAGUACCGGGAGAAUAAGCUCCGGCUAACUCCGUGCCAGCAGCCGCGGUAAU
rnacentral:rRNA from 1 species